rnacentral:rRNA from 1 species
GACAGAGGGUGCUAGCGUUGUUCGGAAUUACUGGGCGUAAAGGGCGCGUAGGCGGCCCGCUAAGUUCGGCGUGAAAUCCCCUGGCUCAACUGGGGAACUGCGCUGGAUACUGGUGGACUCGAGUACCGGAGAGGAGAGUGGAAUUCCUGGUGUAGCGGUGAAAUGCGUAGAUAUCAGGAGGAAGACCGGUGGCGAAGGCGGCUCUCUGGACGGAUACUGACGCUGAGGCGCGAAAGCGUGGGGAUCAAACAGG